ACACCUCAACUCUCGUGGUUUGCUACGAUGAGCUUGGACUUUGGGGGUCUUGCUGGCCUGUGGUCGGCUCCUCUCAAAUGAAUCAGCUUCCCAGUGUUUGGUGGCGUCGCAGGUGUGAUAACUAUCUACGCUUGUGGUUUUCCACCAGAUAACCUUCAGUGAUGGGGGUUCGCUGGGGCGCUCAUAAACGUCUUUCCUCGGUGAAGACAGCUUUUUGAAC
rnacentral:misc_RNA from 1 species